GGAUGAUGUGGAUUAAUUCGAUGCAACGCGAAAACCUUACUACCCUUGACAUGUCCGGAAUCCCGAAGAGAUUUGGGAGUGCUCGCAAGAGAACCGGAACACAGGUGCUGCAUGGCUGUCGUCAGCUCGUGUCGUGAGAUGUUGGGUUAAGUCCCGCAACGAGCGCAACCCUUGUCAUUAGUUGCCAUCAUUUGGUUGGGCACUCUAAUGAGACUGCCGGUGACAAACCGGAGGAAGGUGGGGAUGACGUCAAGUCCUCAUGGCCCUUAUGGGUAGGGCUUCACACGUCAUACAAUGGUCGGUACAGAGGGUUGCCAACCCGCGAGGGGGAGCUAAUCCCACAAAGCCGAUCGUAGUCCGGAUCGCAGUCUGCAACUCGACUGCGUGAAGUCGGAAUCGCUAGUAAUCGUGGAUCAGCAUGUCACGGUGAAUACGUUCCCGGGUCUU
rnacentral:rRNA from 1 species